rnacentral:rRNA from 1 species
GACGAGGGGUCCUAGCGUUGUUCGGAAUCAUUGGGCGUAAAGCGCGCGUAGGCGGCCCUGUAAGUCCGUUGUGAAAGUCAAAGGCUCAACCUUUGAAAGCCGAUGGAUACUGCAAGGCUAGAGUCCGGAAGAGGCGAGUGGAAUCCUGGUGUAGCGGUGGAAUGCGUAGAUAUGUGGAGGAACACCGGUGGCGAAGGCGGCAUCCUGGACCGAUACUGACGCUGAGGAGCGAAAGCCAGGGGAGCAAAACGGG